UUCCCAGAACAAUUCAUGGGAAAGCUUAUUAUUUUUCUCUGUCUCUGACCAGAUUGUCAUAUCGACACCCAAGUACCCCCAAGGACCUCCAGGAUUUCUAAGCUCCUUUUGUGAGAGGAGCCUUGGAGCAGCUGCUUCCAGUCCAGUCCUCAGACUUUUCAAGUGUUCAUGUGUAAAGAAUUAUCAAGGUCUUUCUAGAGAAAGAGCAGGAGCAGACUGCUUAUCAAAGAUGCCAUGCCAGGCUCAGGGAGAGCUGUUCCCAGCCCGAGAGCAGGAAGAGCAGCUCAGGCAGCAGGUGGAAGAGCCACAGGAAAUGACCAGGACAUCAAGGCAGAGCCACAAGCAGAGCUGCCCGAAGCUCAGAGUGCCAUCAUGGCAGUGAAGAGAAAGAACAAGGAAGACAUGAGAAGAAUUCAAGAGGAGAUGAAUCUCCAUCAGCACAGGGGCGACCAACAAAACCAGGUGAGAGAAAGAAUGGCAGCCACUCCGCUCAUGAAACUUCCUCUCCAUUGCUGUUUACAGACCAUCAAGGAAGAUGUGCAGGCAGAGCUGCAGGAAUCUGAGGCUAGGAAAAAGGCAAGGAAGAAGAGGCUGGAAGAAGAAAUGAAAAUCAUCAGAGAGAAAGUUAAUCGCCUCCCUCAGGCUCUACAAAAGCAAGUGAGUGAUGGAGGGACAGCCACUGCAGUCACCAAACUGCUGUUUUCUGCCCUUCUUGCUUUUCCUCUGCAGAGCAGCAGGGAGUGGGGCCGUGCCUCUGAGUGCCAUCCUGCUCUAGUAUAUAUCACAGUCACUCUGAAGGACAUUUCCUGCUGUGCUGGAUCUCAAGUGCUGCCCUGGAAAGUGGGACUUGUUCUUUGGCUUUUGGCCAGCAAUCAUCCAAAUUGAUUCCUGCUGGCCUGUUCCUGCUCUCUCUGUUUCUUUACAGGGGAACAUGGUGACCCAGAGGAGGACUGAAACAAGCUGUCUGUAUCCCUUGUAAAUCUGUUCUUUCCCUUUGCUCACAGUCAAUGACUCUUGGCUGAUAGGGACAAGCUGUAGUCUCUGAUUGCUUUGUUCUCUGACUUGAGGUGCAAGUGUCAACAUCUCACCUGGCAGACCGCAAAGACUUCCAGAAAACAACUGGCAAUGAAGGGCCCCAAGGUUGGCGUGAGGCACAGGAACUGUCCCCACCAGAAGUGCUACAGGUUCAGCACACCUCCAUGGGCUCUGGCACUAAACCUGCUGCUGCAGCAGCGUUACCUGGGGGAAUCUAUUCUGUUGAACCUGGGAAUUCGAGCUGGGGCAGUUUGUUCAUUUCCAGGUCUGACAGCAGCACGGCUGCUCCGAAACUGGAGAUUGAGAAGUAUCUGGAGAUACUGGGGAGAAUGGUGACCAUGGAAAACCCUGUGAUUAAAUACACAGAAAGGGGACGUAUUGGCAGCGGGUCUUUUGGAGAUGUGGUUAGAGCACUCAAGAAUGCCACAGGAGGAGAGAGAAAUGUCAACAGCCCUGUGUUUUUUGUCUAUAAUUUCAUUAUUUUCAUGAAAACAUGCAUUCCCAUCUCCACAUUUUUUGUGUUUCUAAUUAUUCAUAUACCAAAAUACUUCUUUUUUAAUUCUUUAUCUAUUGCAGUUGGUAAUUUUUAUGUCCUCGUUCUUUAAAAAAAUCCACAAGCCAUUUUAGCCUCUGGCUCUCAAAGGUCGUUUCCU